rnacentral:misc_RNA from 1 species
AAGUGCUCUUCUUCUAUUUGGAUAUUUGUUGCUCUCAUUAGCAGAAGAAGCAAUCCACUUCUUGAGUUUUUUUUACCUUUACCAUCAUGGUAUGAAGCAGGGUGCAUUUCUACUAGGUGUUUUCCGCAGAUCCACUCGAGCUGUUAUGACACAUUCUAUUCAUGGGAUGCAUUUUAGAACAUUUUGAUCCAAUUGUUGUUUUAU